AGCUGUGAACAUGACUUACCUCUGCGGUACAGCCAUUCCUCAGUGAAGCUAAAAGGGAGCACCACAAUGGUCAGAGCUAUGAAAGUGCAGAUACUUCAUGGAUGAUCUACAGACUUUCUAAUACAGCUAUCAACAUACAGACCAGUUUUCUCAGAGCUGCUGAUGAACCAGAUGGCAGGAGCAGCGGAAACCAAAGGAGGAGCAGGAAGCCUUUAAGAAUGAGAUUGCUAAAACACAGGGAAAAUGGAAGUUAAAAACUCGGCCUGGACAAAACCGAGCGCCAGAAUGGAAAAGCAAGCCCUGGAGGAGCUUAGCCAA